rnacentral:rRNA from 1 species
GAGUUUGAUUCUGGCUCAGGAUGAACGCUGGCGGCGUGCGUAACACAUGCAAGUUGGACGACGGUGCUAUGAAGUGGUAACACGGAAUGGUAUACGGAGUAGCGGACGGGUGAGUAAAGCAUGAGGAGCUGUCCUGUUGAGGGGGAUAACGUUCGGAAACGGACCCUAAUACCCCAUAGGCCGAGAGGUUAAAGGCAGAGAUGCGCGACAGGAGGUACUCGUGUCCUAUCAGCUGGUUGGUGAGGUAACGGCUCACCAAGGCGACGACGGGUAGCCGGCCUGAGAGGGUGACCGGCCACACUGGAACUGAGACACGGUCCAGACUCCUACGGGAGGCAGCAGUGGGGAAUAUUGGGCAAUGGGAGGAAUCCUGACCCAGCGACGCCGCGUGAACGAAGACGGCCUUCGGGUUGUAAAGUUCUUUUAUGUGGGAAGAAGGAAGUGA